rnacentral:rRNA from 1 species
AUAAUGGGUCAGCGACUUAUAUUCUGUAGCAAGGUUAACCGAAUAGGGGAGCCGAAGGGAAACCGAGUCUUAACUGGGCGUUAAGUUGCAGGGUAUAGACCCGAAACCCGGUGAUCUAGCCAUGGGCAGGUUGAAGGUUGGGUAACACUAACUGGAGGACCGAACCGACUAAUGUUGAAAAAUUAGCGGAUGACUUGUGGCUGGGGGUGAAAGGCCAAUCAAACCGGGAGAUAGCUGGUUCUCCCCGAAAGCUAUUUAGGUAGCGCCUCGUGAAUUCAUCUCCGGGGGUAGAGCACUGUUUCGGCAAGGGGGUCAUCCCGACUUACCAACCCGAUGCAAACUGCGAAUACCGGAGAAUGUUAUCACGGGAGACACACGGCGGGUGCUAACGUCCGUCGUGAAGAGGGAAACAACCCAGACCGCCAGCUAAGGUCCCAAAGUCAUGGUUAAGUGGGAAACGAUGUGGGAAGGCCCAGACAGCCAGGAUGUUGGCUUAGAAGCAGCCAUCAUUUAAAGAAAGCGUAAUAGCUCACUGGUCGAGUCGGCCUGCGCGGAAGAUGUAACGGGGCUAAACCAUGCACCGAAGCUGCGGCAGCGACGCUGAUGCGUUGUUGGGUAGGGGAGCGUUCUGUAAGCCUGUGAAGGUGUGCUGUGAGGCAUGCUGGAGGUAUCAGAAGUGCGAAUGCUGACAUAAGUAACGAUAAAGCGGGUGAAAAGCCCGCUCGCCGGAAGACCAAGGGUUCCUGUCCAACGUUAAUCGGGGCAGGGUGAGUCGACCCCUAAGGCGAGGCCGAAAGGCGUAGUCGAUGGGAAACAGGUUAAUAUUCCUGUACUUGGUGUUACUGCGAAGGGGGGACGGAGAAGGCUAUGUUGGCCGGGCGACGGUUGUCCCGGUUUAAGCGUGUAGGCUGGUUUUCCAGGCAAAUCCGGAAAAUCAAGGCUGAGGCGUGAUGACGAGGCACUACGGUGCUGAAGCAACAAAUGCCCUGCUUCCAGGAAAAGCCUCUAAGCAUCAGGUAACAUCAAAUCGUACCCCAAACCGACACAGGUGGUCAGGUAGAGAAUACCAAGGCGCUUGAGAGAACUCGGGUGAAGGAACUAGGCAAAAUGGUGCCGUAACUUCGGGAGAAGGCACGCUGAUAUGUAGGUGAAGUCCCUCGCGGAUGGAGCUGAAAUCAGUCGAAGAUACCAGCUGGCUGCAACUGUUUAUUAAAAACACAGCACUGUGCAAACACGAAAGUGGACGUAUACGGUGUGACGCCUGCCCGGUGCCGGAAGGUUAAUUGAUGGGGUCAGCGCAAGCGAAGCUCUUGAUCGAAGCCCCGGUAAACGGCGGCCGUAACUAUAACGGUCCUAAGGUAGCGAAAUUCCUUGUCGGGUAAGUUCCGACCUGCACGAAUGGCGUAAUGAUGGCCAGGCUGUCUCCACCCGAGACUCAGUGAAAUUGAACUCGCUGUGAAGAUGCAGUGUACCCGCGGCAAGACGGAAAGACCCCGUGAACCUUUACUAUAGCUUGACACUGAACAUUGAGCCUUGAUGUGUAGGAUAGGUGGGAGGCUUUGAAGUGUGGACGCCAGUCUGCAUGGAGCCGGCCUUGAAAUACCACCCUUUAAUGUUUGAUGUUCUAACGUUGACCCGUGAUCCGGGUUGCGGACAGUGUCUGGUGGGUAGUUUGACUGGGGCGGUCUCCUCCUAAAGAGUAACGGAGGAGCACGAAGGUUGGCUAAUCCUGGUCGGACAUCAGGAGGUUAGUGCAAUGGCAUAAGCCAGCUUGACUGCGAGCGUGACGGCGCGAGCAGGUGCGAAAGCAGGUCAUAGUGAUCCGGUGGUUCUGAAUGGAAGGGCCAUCGCUCAACGGAUAAAAGGUACUCCGGGGAUAACAGGCUGAUACCGCCCAAGAGUUCAUAUCGACGGCGGUGUUUGGCACCUCGAUGUCGGCUCAUCACAUCCUGGGGCUGAAGUAGGUCCCAAGGGUAUGGCUGUUCGCCAUUUAAAGUGGUACGCGAGCUGGGUUUAGAACGUCGUGAGACAGUUCGGUCCCUAUCUGCCGUGGGCGCUGGAGAACUGAGGGGGGCUGCUCCUAGUACGAGAGGACCGGAGUGGACGCAUCACUGGUGUUCGGGUUGUCAUGCCAAUGGCACUGCCCGGUAGCUAAAUGCGGAAGAGAUAAGU